ACGCAGAAGACGGGUGAUUUCUGCAUUUCCAUCUGAGUGAACAUAGAUUCCUUCAGUAAAUAUUGGGAAAACAUUUGCUUCAGGCCCAUUACUGGGUACCGCUUUGAUACAGAGGACACACCAAGGAACAAGACAGAUAGGACCUCUGCCUCUGGUAAGUUUGCAUUCCAGAGGGAGGAGAAGACAAUAAGCAAGCAAGCCAUCAAGACCACGUCAGAUGAGACGAAUAAAGUCAGACAGCUUCCAAGGAGUGGAUGCUUAUGGAGAGAUCACAUGGAGCCUUGUAGCUGAUUUAUAAUCUCAUGGUCCUCAUUCAUACAUCAAACCCCUGAAGGCCUGGCAUUUUUAUCUCCCGACUCAACCUGCAUGCUACCAGAAGCUCGACAAAAUUACGCCUGUUUAGGAAAAGACUGGAGGAAUUCGUGGAGGAAUUCUUGGAGGGGGAACACUGAAGUCCGAAAUACUAUGUGAAAAGAAAGCACAUGUUCUCCUUUUCUGGCUCGGAAGAAUUUUGGAGUGGAUUUAGGCAGACCAGUCUGAACAAACACGCUCGAGGAGCUGAGGCCCGUCAGCACACGCUCAGCAGCUGUGCAUCCAGAUCCGCGUGCUCUCGGCUUGGCCAAAGCAUUGCAAACAACUGAAGUCCUUGCUGCCAGGCAGAUGGUCACAGGACUGUCAGCAGACCCUGAGAGACCUCAACAAUGCCCACAAACUCUAAACAAAUCUACGCAGAGUCUAAUGGUGUCUGCUUGCUUUGCGGCUCUCCAGACUUCCUAAGUUCUGUUUGGUUCUGUGUGUUUGUUGUAGCUGGGAGAGCAGAACUGACCCUGAUAACCACUACACGUAGAAAACAAGUCUAAUAUCCCCCUAACGGACAACUCAAGUGUCUUUCUUGACUACAUGUGGCCUUCAUGAAAACGAUCUUCCUUAUGAUUCUUCCAAAACCUAUUUCCAGGACCACAUAGUUUAGUACUUAGUAUUAUUUUGUCUUGCAGUACUGGUAGACUACUUCUUAUGAGUUACUCUUGUCUCCCUUAUUGUAUUGUCAGCACCUUAAAAGCAAAAACAGUGGCUUGGGCUUGGGUUCAAGGUCUAGAUCCACCUCUUCCAAGCUGGGUGACCUUAAAUUUGAAUGAUGAUAAUACCUGGAGGGUCAUUGUGAUGAUUACAUGAGAUAAUGUAUGUGAAACACUUAGAAUUCAUGGGAAAUACUCAACAGGUUAUUCUUGUGGUGGUGGUAGUAGCAGUAAUGAUGAUUAUGAUUACAUUAUUAAUACA
rnacentral:lncRNA from 1 species